rnacentral:tRNA from 1 species
AAUGAAUUGCCUGAUAAAAAGGAUUAUCUUGAUAGGGUAAAUCAUAAAGAUUUAAUGCUUUAUUCAUUA